UCCUCUGUAGUUCAGUCGGUAGAACGGCGGACUGUUAAUCCGUAUGUCACUGGUUCGAGUCCAGUCAGAAGAGCCA
rnacentral:tRNA from 5 species